GACGAACCGUGCGAACGUUAUUCGGAAUCACUGGGCUUAAAGGGCGCGUAGGCGGGCGGCCAAGUCAGGGGUGAAAGCCCCCAGCUCAACUGGGGAAGUGCCUCUGAUACUGGUCAUCUCGAGGGAGAUAGGGGCGUGCGGAACUUCCGGUGGAGCGGUGAAAUGCGUAGAUAUCGGAAGGAACACCUGUGGCGAAAGCGGCGCACUGGACCACAACUGACGCUGAGGCGCGAAAGCUAGGGGAGCAAACAGG
rnacentral:rRNA from 1 species